rnacentral:rRNA from 1 species
GUGAACGCUGGCGGUAGGCCUAACACCUGCAAGUCGAACGGCAGCACAGUAAGAGCUUGCUCUUACGGGUGGCGAGUGGCGGACGGGUGAGGAAUACAUCGGAAUCUACUUUUUCGUGGGGGAUAACGUAGGGAAACUUACGCUAAUACCGCAUACGACCUACGGGUGAAAGCAGGGGAUCUUCGGACCUUGCGCGAUUGAAUGAGCCGAUGUCGGAUUAGCUAGUUGGCGGGGUAAAGGCCCACCAAGGCGACGAUCCGCAGCUGGUCUGAGAGGAUGAUCAGCCACACUGGAACUGAGACACGGUCCAGACUCCUACGGGAGGCAGCAGUGGGGAAUAUUGGACAAUGGGCGCAAGCCUGAUCCAGCCAUACCGCGUGGGUGAAGAAGGCCUUCGGGUUGUAAAGCCCUUUUGUUGGGAAAGAAAAGCAGCAGGUUAAUACCCCGCUGUUCUGACGGUACCCAAAGAAUAAGCACCGGCUAACUUCGUG